GACGAACGCUGGCGGCGUGCUUAACACAUGCAAGUCGAACGGAAAGGCCUGCUUUCCCUUGUGGAUUGCGGGUACUCGAGUGGCGAACGGGUGAGUAACACGUGAGUGAUCUGCCCCCAACUUGGGUAUAAGCCUGGGAAACUGGGUCUAAUUCCCGAUAGGACUGCAGGGUGGUGCCUGUGGUGGAAAACGAUUUUCUAGUGGUUGGGGAUGAGCUCGCGGCCUAUCAGCUUGUUGGUGGGGUAAUGGCCUACCAAGGCGGCGACGGGUAGCCGGCCUGAGAGGGUGGACGGCCACAUUGGGACUGGGAUACGGCCCAGACUCGUACGAGAGGCAGCAGUGGGGAAUAUUGGACAAUGGGCGGGAGCCUGAUGCAGCGACGCCGCGUGGGGGAUGACGGCCUUCGGGUUGUAAACUCCUUGCGACCGCGAGGAAGCCACCUGGUUGGAAGGGUGGUGACGGUAGUGGUAGAAGAAGCACCGGCUAACUACGUG
rnacentral:rRNA from 1 species